rnacentral:rRNA from 1 species
CCUGCAUGAAGUCGGAAUUGCUGUAAUCGCAGAUCAGCAUGCUGCGGUGAAUACGUUCCCGGGCCUUGUACACACCGCCCGUCACACCAUGGGAGUCGGUAACACCCGAAGUCGGUAGCCUAACCGUAAGGAGGGCGCCGCCAAGGUGGGAUUGAUGACUGGGGUGAAGUCGUAACAAGGUAGC